rnacentral:rRNA from 1 species
GGUUGACCUCGGAUCAGGUAGGGAUACCCGCUGAACUUAAGCAUAUCAAUAAGCGGAGGAAAAGAAACCAACAGGGAUUGCCCCAGUAACGGCGAGUGAAGCGGCAAGAGCUCAAAUUUGAAAGCUGGCUCCUUCGGGGUCCGCAUUGUAAUUUGCAGAGGAUGUUUCGGGAGUGGCCCCCAUCUAAGUGUCCUGGAACGGACCGUCAUA